rnacentral:rRNA from 1 species
UACGAAGGGGGCCAGCGUUGCUCGGAAUUACUGGGCGUAAAGGGCGCGUAGGCGGUCUGUCGCGUCGGCUGUGAAAUCCCGAGGCUCAACCUCGGGUCUGCAGUCGAUACGGGCAAACUAGAGUAUUGCAGGGGAGACUGGAAUUCCUGGUGUAGCGGUGAAAUGCGCAGAUAUCAGGAGGAACACCGGUGGCGAAGGCGGGUCUCUGGGCAAUAACUGACGCUGAGGAGCGAAAGCGUGGGGAGCGAACAGG